GUCAUUAGGCUGAUUCAAUGCAAAUGACAGCAAAUAAAGUCAUAAUGGAAUCAGUUUUGACAGCUAACACAAUGCAUGUUUCUGAAACUUUUUAUAAGUAAUAGAAAAGCGUGACAGAGGUUAGCGUUUGUGGUAGGCACUUGUUUGCAACAAUAGCUGGUUUCACAACAAGUGAUAGGUCUGUAAGUAAUGGAAGCUCCGCCACUGCCACCUCUUUGCUUGCUCAAUUCAUUUUGUUGGCUCUUAUUUUUUAUCCGAUUCUUAUUCUUCUAUAUUUGCCUGGUGUCUCUUCCGACUAUGGUUACCUGCAUUCUUGCACAGUACCCACACAUUCUUUUCACCUCUUGCACCUUUUUUCUUGCAGAAGUAUUUGCCUUCUGCUGUGCAUCCUUCCAGUAAUGUACAGGCCCUUCUUGCACUCCCGUAUCUACUAGAUUAUGUGCAGGCAUAAGUGUUUUCUCCUCUUCUCUGCUCUUUUCCACUAUUUCCAAUCUCUGUGUCAAGUACCAUGUCCCAACAGCCCUUGUAGUUGCCAGCUAUCCCUGCAAGGUACUAAAUCUUUCUGACCCAUUUUAAACCUCUGCACAGCUGUCUCUUUCUUGUUGUCUUCAUUUUACCUUGCAAUUCUGAGUCAAAGAAAACAGACCAUAGUGUAGCUGCUUCUCAGAUGUACAAUUUUUGUUUGCCUUGGAAAUCCCUCUGUCUAUGAGUUGCAAAUAUUUUAAGUUUUAGUGAUUGGGUACACGGAGGCUCUCUUAUCUGGAUUAGACUCAGGUAAUAAGGUAGGGGCAGAAGACCCAUUCCUAAAAUCAAAAUCAUCCUCUUCAUUAUCAGUUUUCAGUGUACAUAUCUUUUAGCGAGCUCAUUCUCUGAGACUGGCCAUGUACACUCUUGCUCUAGCUAUUGUAAAGCCAAGGUUUAAGGUUUGUUUCUAAUUGUCACAGUAAUUGGCUGUUAACAUGGCUAUGAGAUUCAAAGGCAGCUGCUCAGGCUUGCUGCAAAGCAUCUUGAACUUCCUGCCUGGAAGUCUUUAGUAAAGUGUCUGUAGCUGCCAAUACCUCUGCGAAAGCCCAGUGAAGGGUCCUUUUCUUUCCUUCGCUUUACAUAAACAAAUUUCCUGCACUCCUGAAAUUCUACUCACAGUUUCCCAGUCAAAACAAUUUUCAGCCACCCAGGUGUUUUCCAUCCCUUAUCCUCUUGCCAUGUUUGCUGUUCUGCUGCUGCCUCAUCCUAAGCAUCCACAGCUUGUGUAUUUUACAGAAUCCCACUUUUGACACCAGCUACUGUCAUGACCUAAAGGAUUACCCAGCUGUUACAACCUUUACAUAACCACAGGCCAGAUAACUCUUUAGGUCAUGACAUUAAUGCCUCUUAGUCCUUUGCUCUCUUCUUUCCUGAGUUCUGGCCUCUGAUGGGAGCAGUGGAGCAGUUUCUGGCAAAGAAACAGGAACGGUCAGCUAAGCUGCUCUGCAAAACCAACAGAAAGUGUGACAACACGUAUUCAAGUGAACACAAAGCCAUCUUGGAAUCAGUGCUUGUGCCUUUACUUGCCACUACAUGGCAAUGGGCAACACUGCUAGAGCCUUUUACUGCCUUCUGGAGAGUGUGCCUGCCGACCUGCAUGUCUCCAACAGCAACAUGCAAGAGACAUGGGGCACAAGGACCAUUAGCAAGGAGAUUGCCUGAAGGAUCACUGGUGCCUGUGUUUGGAGCCAGUGUGACUGUGUCAGGGCGAGCACCACCAGGGGGAGAACCAGGCCCUCCUAAGAUGGAUACCAGAGGCAAUGGAGAAGGAUGGGGCUGGCCAUGGGCUCUGCACUCAUGCUCACCUGUUCUCUGCAUGCUUCCUCAAAGACCCUUCUGAAACUGAACAAAGUGGAGGUCCUGAGGAACUUCAUGGAGAAGAAAGCAAAUGUGAUAGCCUGCUUUGAAGAGGCCCCCUUCUUCAGUCUCAAAGAGGAGGUCUACUGUACUAUGGGAUGCAGAAACCUGGCAAAGAAAAUUAUCAGGGAUGCUCUGAGCCUGCUGAAAAAGCAGUUAUCCCAGACUUCCAUUGGAGCCUUUGUCAAAUCUUGGCUGGAAGAGCUGCAGUGGGCCUGUUUUGUCACAGAUGAGCACACUCCCUUCCACAGGAGGCUCAGUAAGAAGCAGAAUGGUGAACACAGAAGUGGAAGAGACAUUUCCUACCUGGGCCCAGGCCUGCCUAGGCUUGAGGCCACACCAAACCUGACACAUAGGCCUUAGCAGAACUGAGGCAUUAAGGGGUGAUGCAUGGGUAGAACAGGGAAUGGCAGAGCCCCACACAGAAGACACUGAAACAAAGCACACCUUUGGGUAAAAAGCAGCUUGUAGUGAGGGCUGCAUCUGUGCUGGCACAUGUUGGCUGUGGUGGGGACUUGAUGUUGGCUGGGAACUGAGAGCUAUAAACAGGGAGUACAGGCUGCAGAGGGGCAGGGAGCCUGGAAUUAGGACCAGGAUAUGGGGAGGGAGCAGUAGAUAGAGGUGAGGUGUGAGAAUGAGGAAACUCAUAGAGCAAUUUCCCUUUUCCUGCUGGUGCCCAGUUUUGCUUGCCUCCUGCUGGUGCUGUAAUGUCAACAUGCUCUCUCAAGUGAUCAACUUCCCCUGGUGGCAGUUCUUCAUUUGACCCCCUUCCACUCUGGCAGCCCUCCCUGCAUCAGCUCCCUUUCUCCGAAGAGGUGUAACUGUCUUGUCCACCGCCUUGCUUUCCCCCUACCCUGUCUGAUUUACAGGUAGUGCCUCUAGGCCCAGCAGUUUCUCUUGUGUGGCAGGAGGAAAAGACUGGCCUUGCUGCUGCAGCAGGGCUGCUGCCUUUCCUUACUGGAGCACCUCUUCAGCCUGGAGGGCACUUCCAGUGGAUGGAAGCUCUCCCACCUGGUGGCACUCGUGAAGGCCAACAUGGGCAAGGCAGCCAUAUGCCUUAUGACUAGAUUGAGCACAGCCCACUCAAUGCUGAAGAAAAAAUCUAAAUAAUUAGUCAAGAGUCUGCCUGUUAUAUCAUGGGACUUUUUCAGAAUGGAAACCUUGCCAAGUUAUUCCUAAAAAUUGAACUGGAAAGAUGAAGGAUGGAAAAUUUGGGGAAAGUUUGGGGAAAAGAACAAUGGGAAAAGCUGUAAUAGCUCAAACAAAGCAGGAUAGUGGAAACUCUCUUCAAAUAGGGCACAUAUCAAUACAUACAAAGGGCACAGAUUUAGGAUGCAGAUGGAAUUGUGGCACAGAUCAUUUGUCUAAAGAACCUAGAAAGAGCAAUUAUGUUGCUCUUUUGAAUAAUAUAUACUCUUUCCACCUCUAGUCUUGUCAUUCUGGGUUGGCUAUAUGUUGAGAAAUUCUUUUACCAAACAAUGAUUAGCUUUGCAUUUAACAAGGCCUAUGAGUGAUUAAUGUGUACAGAGAAGAUAUCCUAACCUGGAGAAUAGAAACAUCCUGGCAGGAUUGCCCAAACAGGGUUGAUAAGGAAGAACAGCUUGGCUGGACAACAGAGUUGGGAAACAUCCAAGGAGAAGAAAUUGCCCUCAAGACCAUAAAAGGGAAAAAGGAGGGGGGGGGCUAACUCCUGAAAUGACCACCGGAGACCCCCAUGCAUGCGUAGUGUAAUUUUGCAACGACAGCAUUAUAUAAAUGUAUAGAUAGGCGGAGAGGUGGAGACUUCUUGGAAAAUGUAUGAAUAUUCAUGUCUUUAAGGUAUAUAAAGGAUUAACUCUUGUUUUAGAGUAUGCACGAUAGGCGGAGCUAUCCCCCGUGCAUCCAGUGCCAUA